ensembl:lncRNA
AUGGACCUGCAUCAUUCGUCGUGUUGGGAGGCCAUUCUGGAGAAAGUGAAACCGCAUAUACCGACUAUGGACUUUGAUUCGUCAUCACAGUCUGAGAAUGAAGAGAUUGCCACAAUAUAUCAAAGGCCCGCUGGUCUUUCCUUGACUGUCUCUGAGGACUUUGACCUACUCUCAAUGGAUGACGAUCAUCUAGAGCGGCUGUGGAAACCUGUAGCUCUGACCCGCAGGACAGAAGAGAGUGAGCAAUUGGAUGGCGAUGAAAAUGUGGAAGGCUCUACUGUCACGCAACGACAACUCGCUGAUGUCCAGGGAGACGCUCCUCAGACGGGCCUCGUGGAGUCAGAUGCCUCCGUGAGACCAAACAACACACAAACAACAACAACAACAGCUGAUCAGCAAUUGACCGUUCUGUCAUUGGCAAGGUUUGACCAGUGGGACUUGGACGAUGUUCUCAAAAAUCUGGACCGGCUACCUCUGCAACAACAUGUGUCAGUUGAACCGCUGGAAACACAUGCAGAUGGCGACAAGGAGAAAUCCGAAGCAAUCAUAAUGGAGAGACUAGUUGCUUUUUGUGACAUCCAGUCAUCAAAGAAUGAGUCAGAGCUGAUGGAAAGUCCAAACCACAUCAAGCAUACCAAUGUGGGGGAAAAGUCAUCGGGGAGUUUGGAAGACGAGCUGCGGCCGAGGCAGAAGGAAUGUCCCACUGUUUACAUUGACCUGCGUUGCUCUGAUUCUUCAAUAAAAACACCAAGAACAUCCCCAAAUCCUCCAUCAGAGUCCAAGUCACCAGCCAAACGCAGCAAGCACCACGAAACACCAAAGAAAGUCAAUCUUAAAGUGCAUCAUGCAUCAUGCACGGAUGACAGAGAAGUGACUGGAAAGAAUAAGCUGCUUCAGAAGAUCAGGGAGAUGAAGGGAAAUGGAGAUAGAUAUCCCAACGAAUGUAUGGACCCAUCUCAUUCAGUGCCAGAGAAUGUACUGGAAAAACUGAACGCGGCGCAACCGCAGGCUGCAGAGUCUGCGUGUGGACAGGAGACACACAAACAGGGGGGAGACAAUCAAUCUUCUUAUGUGCAGUUUGAAUACAGAACGACUGAAAUGGAAACCCCACCUACAUCUCAGCAAGGACCAAUCAAAAAACCGGAGCAGCAGAGUGACCAACAGAGACCAGAAGUUAAGCAGAAAAAUGCACGUGAGCAACACCAACAGAUUCCUGAGCAACUGGAAAGACAUCGUCCACUCAAAUCAAAAAGGAACAAAGACAUCCAUACACCUUUCUACAACCACGUCUGCAGCUUCCUCACUGAGACCUCGCUCCCUCUGAUCGCCAGCUGGGUACCGGCGGUCAGAAACCUGCUGGACCAACAAGCCUUCGCCUCCCCCAUCCAUCUGCCGUCAUGCAGUCUAAACGGUUUCAUCUCCACCACCUCCAACCAAAAGGUUAUUGACAGGACAUUUGGUCUCGACCCCGGCUUUUACUGGCAGACUCUGGAAACUCCGGAGCAUGUUUGCAGGGGGAGAGAGACCACACAAGCGCUGCACACAGAAGUAUCUGUCGCUGUGGGGUGCGAAGCAUUCAUCCUCCAUCCUGUCAUAACACACUACACCCUCCAACUGGUUCUUGAUUCGGGACUCGAUGUGUGUGGUCUGCGGCUCCUUUAUCCAACACGGGAGUUCCUGAGUGAUAGGGCUGGUGCUGGACCAGUUCUUCAGAGAGCCGGUGCGACCUGCCAGCCUGUCCUGGCCCUUGCUGUGCGGGGCCUUCGUGCCCACUCCGUGUUGAGCAAUCUGACUAGUUCCUCGGACCCUCUGGUGCCCGGAGGGACCGACCCUCUGGAGCCUCCUCUCUUCUUCUCCUCUCGACCGGCCAGCCAGGUGCACAGGGAGCUGUGCUUGUGGUUUUCAGGAAGAGUUAGCCCUUACAACCGGCUCCCGAGCAGGGUUGUUCCCUCGAAUGAGCGAAGAGGAGUCUUUCUGUGCGCCACAACGAAAAUGCUGGCAGUGUGUGAACGCAGAGGCUUCGGUCUGGGGGGGCUGCAGAGGCUGCGGCUUCAGAGCAACGGCGCUGCAGACCUGGGACUCUCCGAGCAGCAGGCUCGAGUGUUCUGCAUUCCACGCCGGGGUCAGCUGGAGCUGCUCUCUCCCUGUCUGGUGUUGUUACUGAGGAAAGAAAAUGCUGUGCACCACACUGUUUGUCUGCCAGCAGCCCUGAUGAGAGAAUUUAAGACACCAAAGCUUCUGGGUCGCAUCCGGUCCAGAGUCGAUGGGGUUCGGGCAGCGGAGCCCAGCUUGUGUUUCCACACUGCGCCUUACAGCAGCAACCUGUACCACGUCUUUGGACACGAGACGCGGCCUGAGCCUCUUGCACAGAGUGCUGACAGAGGAGCCAGAAGGAUUCCAGCUGCUCGGCCUGAAGUGGCUGCCUGCGUUGACUCUGCUUCAGGCUCGGGAGCUGAAUCCAUACGAAGUGGGGCAGCAGCUCUUUCAAGACAGCGUGGGCCAUCUGAUGCCCCGUCCUGCCCUAGUGUGUGCUCUUAA